rnacentral:lncRNA from 1 species
UCUCACCUUUUUAAUUUUCAGAUUCCUCAUUACUUUGAGGAGAAACUAUUCCAAUGUGCACCGUUCUGAUUUUAUCAAGAGAAUAUUUUGAAAAUAUCUCAUGGUAAAUUAUAGGCUUCCCAAAAAUUAGUACAAAGUUCUUGUUAUGCAUUAGACUUCUUGAAUUGGCUUUAAGCUUAGCAAGUCACGUAGAGCACAC